AAUGAACGUUGGCGGCGUGGAUUAGGCAUGCAAGUCGAGCGAGAAACCUCCUUCGGGAGGUGGAAAGCGGCGAAAGGGAGAGUAACGCGUGGAUACCUGCCCUCGGGUUCGGGAUAGCUGCUGGAAACGGCAGGUAAUACCGAAUGAUAUCUCCGGAUCAAAGGUGUGAUUCCGCCCGGGGAUGGGUCCGCGUCCUAUUAGCUAGUUGGUGAGGUAACGGCUCACCAAGGCAACGAUGGGUAGUGGGUGUGAGAGCACGACCCACCUCACUGGGACUGAGACACUGCCCAGACACCUACGGGUGGCUGCAGUCGAGGAUCUUCGGCAAUGGGCGCAAGCCUGACCGAGCGACGCCGCGUGCGGGAUGAAGGCCUUCGGGUUGUAAACCGCUUUCGGAGGGGAUGAAAUGCGUGGGGGUUCUCCCCCACGUUUGACAUAGCCUCAGAGGAAGUACGGGCUAAGUUCGUGCCAGCAGCCGCCGUAAUAC
rnacentral:rRNA from 1 species